CUUCCGAUCCAUUUAUUUCCUUACAGGGAUCAAGUUAUACACAAACAAACAAAUUAAAUUAACAGAAACCUCCGGACGAUAUUAUCGUAGUGAAAAUAUCAAUGGAUAGUUAUUACGUGCGCGUUAUGCACUAGUAUUAAUCCAAACGACGGCGUAGAUAAACGAUGGAAUAAUUCCCGAAGUAUUCGUUAUUUUCCGGAAGUAUUGGGAAAUGUUUGCGGACGGCUACAAUACAGAAAUAAAAACG